UAGGGAAUAUCUGCUCUAAGGGCUCUAAGGCUCUGUGUGUAUUUUUCAAGGGAAUACCCAUGGGAACAUGCACAUCGAUGGCUAAAUAAAUCCAUGGCCUCUGACUUCGGUUAGAGUGAAAAUACUCUACUGUCACGUCUUUGGUUCUCAGUUAGACAGGGGCUACUGGCCCAUUUCAGCAGAGAAUGGCUCAGCAGUAAACCUCUGUCCAUGGGCUAACAUGUACCUGUGAAGAAAGCUCUUUCAGAAAGUGACAGCAGGAAGCUAAGUGGAAAGAACCAGAAACUCCAGAAACAAUCAGAUAUUUCUUAAUUAUGAAAUAAAAAGCAAGGACUACAAGAGAAAACAAAUCAUUGAUGCAUACUUACCAAAAUUAAGACCCUCUUCAAAUGACAUGGUAAAGAAAAUGAAAAGGAGAGCUACACACUGGAAGAAAAUAUGUGUGAAAUGUAUGCUCAAGAAAAAAAUCUGUUUUUAAAAUAUAUGAAGAUCUCUUACAACUGACUAACCACAGGAUAAAAUAAUUUGAAGAAAUAAACAAAGAUUUGAAUAGAUUCUUCACCAAAGAUGAUAUAUGGAUAACUACCACAUGAAAAAAAAUGUUCAACAUAGUUCUUCAUUAUGGAAAUAGAAUUAAAACUGCAAUAAGAU